UACAGCCAUAUCACAUUGAAACACCAGUUCUUAUACAAUUAUCCAAGUUAAGCAACACUGAGCCUGGUCAGCACUUAGAUGGGUGAUCACUUGAGAAUAUCAGGUGCUGUACG